rnacentral:rRNA from 1 species
UACGGAGGGUGCAAACGUUGCUCGGAAUCAUUGGGCGUAAAGCGCACGUAGGUGGCUUGUUAAGUCGGGUGUGAAAUCCCUGGGCUCAACCCAGGAAGUGCACUCGAAACUGGCGAGCUUGAGUACUGAAGAGGGUCGCGGAAUUCCCGGUGUAGAGGUGAAAUUCGUAGAUAUCGGGAGGAACACCAGUGGCGAAGGCGGCGACCUGGGACGGUACUGACGCUGAGGCGCGAAAGCGUGGGGAGCAAACAGG